rnacentral:rRNA from 1 species
AUUGAACGCUGGCGGCAGGCCUAACACAUGCAAGUCGAACGGUAACAGGAAGCAGCUUGCUGCUUUGCUGACGAGUGGCGGACGGGUGAGUAAUGUCUGGGAAACUGCCUGAUGGAGGGGGAUAACUACUGGAAACGGUAGCUAAUACCGCAUAAUGUCGCAAGACCAAAGAGGGGGACCUUCGGGCCCCUUGCCAUCGGAUGUGCCCAGAUGGGAUUAGCUAGUAGGUGGGGUAAAGGCUCACCUAGGCGACGAUCCCUAGCUGGUCUGAGAGGAUGACCGGCCACACUGGAGCUGAGACACGGUCCAGACUCCUACGGGAGGCAGCAGUGGGGAAUAUUGCACAAUGGGCGCAAGCCUGAUGCAGCGAUGCCGCGUGUAUGAAGAAGGCCUUCGGGUUGUAAAGUACUUUCAGCGGGGAGGAAGGGAGUAAAGUUAAUACCUUUGCUCAUUGACGUUACCCGCAGAAGAAGCACCGGCUAACUCCGUG